rnacentral:lncRNA from 1 species
AAGUACUUCAUGGUGUAGAGAGAAAGAUAAGUUAUUAUAGGGUAUGGUAUAAUAAAUAUGUUGUACCUUAUUAUUAUCGUCCUUUUUUUCAUCAAAACAGUGCACAUGGAAGCCCUUUAAUUCUCAGCCUCUUACCAAUUCCUAAUUAGCACAAAUUGCCGACGUGGAUUUCAAAUUCAUCAUGUGAUUUGGGAUUUCCCAUAUGCUGCCACGUGCUAUUUUUUCUAAUGCCGACAGAUAUUCAGAAAUAUUGUUUCUUCUGUUAGCUCAAAUUCUCA